UGUUGUUUUUUGUUUUUUAGCAGGCUCUAUCUAAAGUGAAGUAUAGGGAAAAAGAAAAAGUAAAUGUAGCUGAUCUAUGAUGGAAGCCCUGAGACAUUUUGUUCUGAUUAGGAAUCCUCUCAAGAUCCCAAGGUGAUGGGAUUGUUCAAAGGAGACUGAUGCGAGGGGCUAGUGGCGUUGGUGAGAAAGCAGUGUUUGCUGCUACAUGUGGGGAUGUGACUGAGCAGAAGACUUCAGGGGAUCCGUUCUCUGUUCUGGACUUAGAAUUGUGGAUAUUUGGGAGAAUUGCUGCAGUAUCAUCUUGUCGAGAUUUAGGGUGUCCUUAUUCAAAGUAUGCCUCCAAUAUUAAGGGUGUCGUCAACAUUACAAUAUUCCUUGUAUUUCAGUAAGGCAAAGUAGGUGUACAAAGAAGAUAAGAGGCUUUAGUUUUACAUCGAGAAAAACCAGGAAACAAAAAUCCCUCCCAGUGGGGGAGCAAGGUAUAAAGCUGACCUCAUCUAAUUUACCUUAAGGGUCACCCUUGUCUGAGAAGAGGUGGAAAAAGCUGUCAAUACAAAAAGCUAUUGUAUUUCUUAUUUGGCUAGCCAGCCUUUUAAGGAAUAGCAGAGCAGUGAAAAGAUGUGUGUUAAAGCACCAUAACUCUGGGCUAGGACCAAACAUGACAGCCUAGCUCAAGUCAAAGGUAACACACAACUGUUUGUCUUCAGCAGCAGAGCAUGUGAACAGCCUUGAAAAGAGGUGAAGGAUUUUAAAGAGGGUCAUUCUAGGCAUGUUUUAAGCUAGUCGUUCUUUUCCUUCAGGUUUCCCAAUGCAGAAGCUAAGAGACUUUAAGAAUAAAUAAAUCAGUUCUUACACUGAUUCCCCCAACCUCUCCCACCCCCACUUAUAAAACCACCUAACUUGUCUACCUCGGGUCUCUUUACAUCAGUAGUUGGUUUUGCUUGUUCAUGCUUAUGCUGUUUGUUUUUUUCCUGCCCCUGUUAGUUUUUCAUCUUGUCUGUCUCCUUCUCCUACGUGUAAAACUACGCCUUCUGCAAAUGCUCAAACCAUCAAUGGUGUGUUUUGUUGUUUUUUGUAAACAAAAAAAAGUGAGAAGCAAAGGCAUAAGAGAGUAAGAGCCGUGCAGUGGAAGGGUGCGGAGCCACCACUAAUCUGUGCUGUGCAUGCUGUAUGCUUGAGAGAGCCUGGGAGAUUGGUGAAAAGCAGAAUGACGAUGAGGAAAAACCCAACUCGCUUGCCAAUGGUGUAAUUAAGUGCUAUUUAUCCUUUUUACAAUAUUUACAUUGGCAGUGUUUCAUUAGGGAUUUAUGGCCAUCUGUCUUACAGAUUUAUUGUAUAUGUUGUGGAUUUUGCAGUUUAAAACUGCUUUGGAACUAGAACAAAUCCCUCUGCUGUGUAUAUCCCAACACCUGACUUUCCUGAGGAUAAGAAAAGUUUCAUGAAUCUGCUUAUAGCACUUCACAAAAUACUGCCUGGGCUGAUGUCACAUCAGUGGACAGUAAACUGAGCCAGCAACAUGGUUACACUCAAAAUGUCAUUCCGGCAUGUCUAUUUUAGCACUACAGACACGGCAGACAGUCCUCAACUGUUACGGAGUCUGACAUUUUUAAUGCAUAUUCUUCUCUUUGUUUAGCUUUAAAACAUUUCUUUACUGGCCUCCUUUCAACUUAGUUCUCAUUUUAGAAUUUUUUUUUUUCUUUUCAAAUAUGUGCCUCUUAAAUCAUGUUAGAUGUGCUUGAGUUUUUUGUAACAUCUUCCUUAAAGUGCAAGGAAAGAUACAGCAAAUGGGUACUUUCUUGCUGCCUUUCCUAUUGCUCCAUUUGUCUGCAGAUGCAGAAUGCCACAACAGGAGUGAAAUUCUACUCUGACUGCAAGUAACUUUCCCCAGAGUGUAGCCUGGGCAAAGGAGUGAGGGUAAAUCAAUGUUUUGUGGUAGAAGCAGGAGUUUGCUGGUUGCUACUUGAGCUUAUUGUGAAAAAGCACAGCGUGCAUCUCCCAUGAUGGGAACUGUGCUUACGCUAAACAGUUUUAAUAUCUGUCUCCAAACCAUUGGUUUGUUGGUGUUUGCCUGGGGCUAUACCCCCCCAACACAAGGAAACAGUAGUAGCAGUUAAAACAAUGUGGAAACAUUCUCAUGAAAUUAAGUCCACCAAAAAUUUUAAUUCACUGAAGCCUCUGAAAUGAGGAGAAAAACCUUUUGUUUUAGAAAAAUCAACGAAAUUCAGAGGCAUCCAGGACUCCAGGGCCUCGUGCUGCCUGCCUGCAGCUGGCUGCUGCCUCAGGAUUAGGCACGGGACCCUGGUUUGAAGGACAGCCUUCCCCCCACCCCUCCAUGCCUUAAAGUGUUUGCCUACUCCUUUGCAAGUAAUUUCAGGAUUUAGCCACUUUUGUUCCUGAGUGUUUUUUUGCCAGUACUUAACAAGAGAUGAAAAUUCUGACUUUUUUGACUACCUGUAAUAAUAAUAUCUGUUUACCUGAGAUGAUACUUGAAAAACGGUACAGAUCAACAGUGUGAAUUAACAGAAAUUAGUUAUGACAGGAAUAACUCUUGCAUUAAAGAUCUGUAUUGUGAGACCAAAAAACUAUGCAAAUUGAGAAAAGCAGCAAAUUGGACCCAUCUGUGUUGUGAAGUCCUGAUUCAUGCUAUCUUUGAUGUACUGAAGUGAUCCCAUUGUGGGAAUAUUGUGUCUGUGCUCACUCUGAAACUUAAUUACAGUGUUAACUUGCCUUUACGUAAAUGAAUUUUUAACUC